AGGGAAUAUUGCACAAUGGAGGAAACUCUGAUGCAGCGACGCCGCGUGAGUGAUGAAGGACUUCGGUUCGUAAAGCUCUGUCGUAUGGGAAUAAUAAAGUGAAUGUACCAUGCAAGAAAGGAUCGGCUAACUUCGUGCCAGCAGCCGCGGUAAGACGAGGGAUCCUAGCGUUGUUCGGAAUCAUUGGGCGUAAAGCGGGCGCAGGUGGCUUUGUAAGUCAGGUGUGAAAGCCCAGGGCUCAACCCUGGAAGUGCAUUUGAUACUGCAAAGCUUGAGUGCUAGAGAGGUGAGUAGAAUACCUGGUGUAGUGGUGAAAUACGUAGAUAUCAGGUGGAAUACCGGAGGCGAAGGCGGCUCACUGGCUAGACACUGACACUCAUGCCCGAAAGUGUGGGGAUCAAAC
rnacentral:rRNA from 1 species